UUCAACUUUCAUCCUUUCAGAACAGAUCACUGGCAGAAUGUUCCUACAGUAGAAAUAACUACUUUGUAGUUUUGUUUUAUUAUCAAGAUCUGAAAUAUUUUAACAAAUGUAAGUCGGCUGGUGGGACCUGGCAAGCUCUGGAAAGAGCUCUGGAGGGGAACCAAAAUAUGUCUCUCACAUGUUCCCACGCCUUCUUAUGUAAUAAAAAGAGAACAUGCUGCCUGAAUGUCUUUCAUCAUUAUGAUUCUCUAAGGCUGUCUGAAGUGUAUGGGUAAUCCCAUUGUUACCUAAUCCAUCACAGUACUUAAUAUUCCCAGGAGCACCCUUCCGGCUUUCCAUGGAGAAUUUCAGUUUCAGAAACCUGGGUUUGGAAAGCUCAACAUUCUUGAUCUCAAGCAACGAAUUGAGAAGCCUGGGUUUCACUGCCAUCACCCAUCACCCAGGCUGGAGUGCAGUGGUGUGCUGUAGGCUCACUACAACCUUCACCUCCCAGGCUCAAGGGGUCCUCCUGCCUCAGCCUCCUAAGUAGCUGGGACUACAGUAUGUCAAGAACUGUGAAGGGUCUGAGAUUUUAUCCUAUUUGCAAACUAACAAGUGAGCCUGCCACCGUUUUGUGGAUGCUGUCAGAAGACACGAGACUCCUGGGUCAGAGCCAAGGGAGUUUAUUACCAAGGCAUAACAAGUAGCCUAAGCUUCAUGUUCCUGUUGUUUCCAUUUGCCCCUGUGUUCCAUGGGUGUGAGGUGGAACAGUGUAUGUGGAUGGUAAGAUUGCAGUGGUUUGCAUUACAGCUGAGAAACCUCAGCCUUAAAUAUCCCUUCAAUCUUUUAUAACAGACUGCAAGCAAGCUUACCCAGCUUUUGCCCCAGAGGGAGACAUUGUCUUUAUUACACUGUACAGUAAACAAGCCUGCCCUCUGCUUCAGAGGAAGGUACUAAUCUCUGUUUUCCAUGGCUGUUCUCUAUGCAAAUAACCUUGAAAAGAGUCUAUGACAAAAGCUGUCAAGGCCUCUGCUUGCAAGAUGUGUGCAGGGCAAGAGACGCAUGGAGAGUGGUCUCUCAGCACACCGUAGGGUUUUAUUAGAAGGAGUACUUACUUCUCUAGAAUAUUAAACCAAUCAGUAAGUAUUUGCUGAAUGUCUGCUUUGUGCUCAGCAGUUUUCUAGGUACUGUGAAGAAUGAAAAGUCCAUGGUCUCUUGAUUCCAGGUACUUAGAAUUUAUCAGGUACUACUUGACCCAAAACAAUAGGAAACAAUGCAAGAUAAGCGAAAGCUAAACUAGGACUUACACAUUCAUUCAUACAAAUACAUAUUGCAUGCCUCGUAUAAACACCAGCACUUACUUAGUGCCAACAGUAUGCCAGGCACUAAUCUAAGCCCUUUACAUUUAUCAAGACAAGCAUGUGAAAUACCUCCUAGUAUAUUCCUUUUUACAGAUGUGGAAAUAGAGGCACAAGCAUGUCGAGUAGCUUGUCCAUAGUCCCACAGCUAGGAACUCUUCAUCAUGCCUAGACACUGACUCCGGAGCCACAGUCUUACCCUGAACACUGAACUGCCUACCUCGUCACAGACACUUAUCCAAGCUGGAGCUCUAAAGUCAGGGCAGGGACAAACCCUGUCUUCAUAGAGCUAACAGCCUCAAAUGGCACACUUACUAGUCGAUAAGAGCUUGAUGACAGGGAGAAUAAAAGGGCAUUUUUGACAGAAAGCCCAGUUCAGAAGUGAUUGCAGAAAUCAGUCCAGAAGUGUUGAUGGCCUGAGCCAAGCAGGGGCAGGGGAAAUGGGGAAGAGGGCACAGAAGAGGGAGAACAGAGACAUAAAGCAUGAGAGAUGUGAGUAACUGGAGGUCAGAGGUGAAGAAGAGAGAAGUGUCCAGAUGGACCCUGGCAUCUGGACUGGGUUCUGCAUGCCUGUGUCAUCUGCAUGCACAGAUGGCCCAAAUUAAUGAAACUAGGAGGAAGGGCAGUACUGGGGAAAGGACACUGAUUCCAUUUGGGACAUGUCCAGUUUGAGGUAACUAUGCAAUGUCCAAGUCAAACGUCAGUUCGAUCCAGAACACAGAUACUAGUUGCCACCAUGGAUGUGUGAUUUG
rnacentral:lncRNA from 1 species